GGGGGAAGGGUGGGUAAACGCGUGAGCAAACAUGCCCCUAUCCAGGGAGAUACACCAGGGAAACUUUGGUUUAAUAUCCCAUAGCAUUCAUUGAAGGGCUUCUUUAAUGAAAUAAAAGUUUGGUGGGUUUAGGAUUGGCUCGCGUGACCUUAGCCCGAUGGUGAGGUAACGGCUCACCAUAGCAAUGAUGUCUAGGGGUUUGAGAGGAAGGCCCCCCACACUGGGACUGAGACACGGCCCAGACUCCUACGGGAGGCAGCAGUGAGGAAUAUUGGACAAUGGAUGGAAAUCUGAUCCAGCCAUGCCGCGUGCAGGAAGACGGCCUUAUGGGUUGUAAACUGCUUUUAUACGGGAGCAAUAAGGGUUACGAGUAAUCCGAUGAGAGUACUGUAUGAAUAAGGAUCGGCUAACUCCGUGCCAGCAGCCGCGGUAAUACGGAGGAUCCGAGCGUUAUCCGGAAUUAUUGGGUUUAAAGGGUGCGUAGGCGGCCAUUUAAGUCAGCGGUGAAAUUUUGCAGCUUAACUGUAACAGUGCCGUUGAUACUGUUUGGCUAGGAUUUGGUUGUAGUGUGCGGAAUGUGUGGUGUAGCGGUGAAAUGCUUAGAUAUCACACAGAACACCGAUUGCGAAGGCAGCACACUAAGUCAUUAUUGACGGUGAGGCACGAAAGUGUGGGGAUCAAACAGGAUUAGAUACCCUGGUAGUCCACACUGUAAACGAUGAUAAAUCGCUGUCGGCGAUACACAGUCGGUGGCCAAGCGAAAGCAUUAA
rnacentral:rRNA from 1 species